rnacentral:lncRNA from 1 species
CUUCGGCUCCCGGCCCGGCGGGUCGCAGGGCAAGAAUAGGGGCGCUGCUAGCCGGCCGGGCGCCACACAGAGGAACUGCGACCUUGGCCGCGGCCUCCGCCCGAGCCGCGCGCGGGGCAGUGUUGUCGUCCGGACCCGGACGCGACGACGCGGGAGGGGGCGGCCUGCGCGGCGGCUGCGGGAGCCUGUGGAGCAGGAACUGCAGCGACGCCGGGAGCAGAAGCGGCUGCGCACGACGCGCAGCAGCUGCAGCAGCUCGAACAUCUGGAGUCUUUGGUGCCGCCGCCCCUGCCCUCUGGGCCGCGGCCGGAGCCGGGGACCGGGCGACGCGGACCUGCACCUCAGGCCCCUCCUAUGCGCGAAGGGUGGUGGCCCCGGCGCCUGCGAGCUUGGCCUCCUCUGGGCACGGGGGACCCGGGCCCCCGAGGCAUCUCCUGCGCACAAGGAGGGCGGCAUCGGCCCCGGGGAGGCUGCGGGCGGCGUUGGUGGACCGAGUGACAAACACGCCCCGCCGAGCACUUUUGGGGACUCGUUCCCUUUGAUGGCUCACCGCGAAGGGGCGAUCCCAGACCCUUCAUCCUCGGCCGUUAAGAGGGAAGAGGAGCGCCGGGCGUGUCGCUGUGCUAUAGGGAGGAGACUGGAGCCCCGAGGACUCGCCCAAGAGCUGGCCCUGAGCGUCCCAAGGCUGGCGGCGGGGUCGGCGAGGGUGGCGCCAACGCAGUCCUCAGAGUCCCGGCCGGGCCAGCCCUCGCGGCAGUGCUGAAGGCGCUGCAGCUCGGCAUCCGGAGCUCGGGAUGCCGUGGUUCACAGUCAACCCGGCUGGGUCGAGGCAGCUCCGUGUCCCCUCGCUCCUGAGGCCUCCAGGAGUCCAGAUGACCUGGAGAGCGCGGGCUGCAGAGCAGAGUCAAGUGGAAUCUGAAUCUGCCCUUCUAGGUUCUUUGAGUGGGCUCUGCUAAAUGGGCAUGAAACACUCUGAGAAGGGAAAAGCCAUGUUAGUUUAGAGACGCGAGAAAGAGCCAGGGAAGCCGGGCACUCGGGAGGCUGAGGCAGGAGGAUCUCAAGUUCCAGGCAAGACUGGGCAACUUAUCUUAAAAUUUAAAAAAUAAAAAUAAAAAAAGUUUUUUAUUUUAAAGCUGGGAUUGUAACCCAAUGGGCUUAAUCCUUAGUAAAACAAACAUUGAUUAAUUAAUUAAAAGGACUAACUAAUUGAGAGGAGGAGGAAUCUAGGAAUAGGGCUUUGGGGCUUCUGAGAGGUGUGGAGACAGAUUAAGACCCUAAAUGGAGGCAUAAAGGUUGACUUGUUUUUCAAAAAGUCUGAGGUGAUAACAGUUGACUCCAAGCUGUUCUCUUCCUCUUAGCAUACGGACUAAGAAAAAUUUAUCUUUUAGAUGUAAAGUUCUCCUUAUAAAAGGGAAUUCUUACAAAUUAUUUUAGACAAUUGAAGGGUUAGUAAAGUUUUCCUGUUUUGGCAGGGUCUGAAUUUCUUUUAGCUCAAUGUAUGUCAGGGGUUUAUAUUUGGGGGUGGAAUAUUCCAGUUUCAGGCAGUCUAAAUAGGAUUGUGGGGGCGCUGUUCUGACCCCUAACGUAAAUAUCAGGCAGGAGAUUAUAUUAUCAUUCCCUUCAUUUUAUGAUUCUGUAGUUAGCCAUAAAACUCAAAUAUUUCUAAAUUUGGUAGUCACACAUUCAAUAAUUUGUUUCUGUUUCAAACACUUCUAGUUACCUUUGUUAGGUAAGUUAUAUAAGGAAAGAGCCUCAAGAAAUUUCUAAAAUCUUUCCUAAUUAAUGUUGUUAAACCUCUGAUGAAUAAGUAUUCCUUUGCUGGGGGGUCUGGCCCAAAAGCUGAAUACUUUUAAUUUCAUCAGGGCAGUAGAUAGAGGAUACAGGCCCUACAUUUCUGCCAUCCACAUUAUAGGUAUCCACAUUAUAGAUGGGUUUUGGUCCGUUGAAGUCAUUCAGUGGCACACUAGAUUUCCCAUGCAAGCCAGAUAGAUGUUCAAAGAUCUUUUCCUAGUUUAAGGCCAAGCAGGGCCCGGCCCUACCCAGCUAUCAAUAUUUAUGGACUUUUUCUGUAACUCAUAGACCUUUAUUCACCACUGAAAAAGAUUAAAACAUGCUUUUACAGAAAAUUGAGAUUGAGUAGUUAAGUUGUGUGGUCAGGGAUACAGUGACCAGUUAAUGUGCAAAUCUAGAGCCAAAUCCAAUGGUCAGAUUCUCACACUAGUAGGGGUUUUGCCAGUUGAAGAAACUUAAAACAGAGUGGGUUGUUGACAAGUUUGCUUUUGGCCAUUUUGGAGUCUUGUUUGGUUUCUAACAUCAGAGAACACUUAUAUAUAGUAUUUUUUAAAAUAAAAUGAUACUAGAAAUACUAAAAAAAAGGACUGGGGCUGGGGUUAUGGCUCAGUGGUAGAGUGCUUGCGUAGCAUGUGUGAAGCACUGGGUUCGAUUUUCAGCACCACAAAUAAAUAAAUAAGAUAAAGGCCCAUCAACAACUAAUUUUAAAAAAAAAAAGUAAUGGACUGCUUGACUCCUCAAUAACCCCACAUGCUCUCUGUGGCCUGCCCCAAACAAAAUUUCAUGUUUUAUUUUUGUACUUUUUUGUUUUUUUUGAACUGGGGUGUUUAUGUUUAUCCACUGAGCCACGUCCCUGUCCUUUUUUAUUUUUUAUUUUGAGACAGGGUCUCACUAAGUACUGAGGCUGGCCUACAAUUUCUGAUCCUCAUGCCCUAGCCUCCUGAGUUCCUGGGAUUACAGGCAUAUGCCACCAAGCCCAGUUAGCUUAUACUUCUGAGAUAUAACUUCAUCUUUCUAAACUAUAUACUGUUUUCUUAGAGUCAACAAUUCUAGGCUAAUCUAUUAACUUUCUGUCAUAGUAGAUAAGGGUGCUAUGACUAAGCCCAGGCUUACAUUUGAACUACAUCCCCAGCCAAAUGCAGAUAUCUUAAACUGUCACAGCUCAGAAUGUAAAGGGUACAUAACGUUAUUCCAGUUUUGUAAUCUCUGAUAUUUAGUACUUAAAUAUUAUUUUAAACAUUGAGAAAUAUCUUUUCUAAUGUGUUACAUUGGUCAAUUGGUUAGCCCUAGGAAUAAAUAUCAGCCACCUUUCCACAGAUUUAUGAAACAAGUUGUAAAAUGGAUUUUUUAGAAAAUGCCAUUUCUAAUGUUAAUAUAUUGCAAAACAGAGCCAGGCAUGGUGGUGCACACCUGUAAUCCCAGGGGCUUGGGAGGCUAAAGCAGGAGGAUCUUGAGUUCAAAACCAUCUUCAGCAACAGUGAGGCACUAAGCAACUCAGUGAGACCCUGUCUCUAAAUAAAAUACAAAAUAGGGCUGGGGAUGUGGCUCAGUGGUCAAGUGUCCCUGGCUUCAAUCCCCAGAACCAACAACGACAACAACAACAAAAUAUUGCAAAACAGCACAUUCUUUUUCAUCAUGGCAAAAAUAUAUUUUAUUCAUGAAUUUGAGUCUUUUUUUUUUUUUCUUGACAGGGUCUGGCUAAAUUUUUGAGGCUGGCCUCAGAGUAGCAAUUGUGCCUCAGGUUCCCUAGACCCCAGGAUUACAGGCAUGUACCAUCACACUCAGCUUGAUUCUAAAUUUAAUUAGCCAUAUUUUGUUGUUUGUUCAACUCCUAAGAUUUAAAAUGAUGUGUUUAUUGGAUUUGGGGAUUUAUACACUUUACUACCAAACUCCUUUCAGACCAGAUGCUUGAGGCAUCAUAUUAUUGUUUCUAACAAAUGGCUACCAGAUGGGGUCUACCAUCUUGUCAGGUUGUUCAGAUUUCCAUUGCUGUUGUUAAAUUAGCCGUGUGUCAUGACACACAUUCCUGUUAAUACUGUAAAGCCGGGGGUUGGGGAGCAUGCUUCUAAGUCCAGCUACUUGGGGGGCUGAGGUAGGAGGAUCAUUAAAGUUGGAGGACAGCCUGGGCAAAUUUAGCAGGACCCUGUCUUAAGAUAAUCAGGGCUGGGGAUAUAUAGCUCAGUGAUAGAGCACUUGCCUAGCAUCAGUUAGCCAAGUAUUGCUGGUAGCCAUUAGCCAAGUAGGUAUGACAAUUUCCUUGCCAGCGUACCCCAUGUUGCUUAGUGGAAGGACUCGUGGAAAUAGGACAUUUUGCAGUGACAUUGCAUGUAGGUGACCUUGCUCAAGGACCAGGGCGGAUCCGGGUUUAGGGUGUUCCCGGUUUAGGACAAUCCAGGUUUAAGGUUAUUCCUGCUGAGAAUAGGGCGUAUCCUGCUGCCUGAGUUCCCCUUGAGUUCUCACGUGAUUCAGACAGUAUUUUUUGGGAGACAGAAGCCCAGUGGGGGUGGAUUUUUGGCAGAGAACGUGGAUUUCCCCAGAACGUGAUUGUAGAUGGCUGGUGUGAGUUCAGGAAUAAAGAGUUGCUGUUUGAAUCUACAA